rnacentral:rRNA from 1 species
CCUACGGGUGGCAGCAGUGGGGAAUAUUGGGCAAUGGAGGCAACUCUGACCCAGCAACGCCGCGUGAAUGAUGAAGGUCUUCGGAUUGUAAAGCUCUGUGAUGGGGGAUGAACACAAUGACGGUACCCCAAUAGCAAGCCACGGCUAACUACGUGACAGCAGCCGCGGUAAUCCUGAGGGGGCAAGCGUUAUACGGAAUGACUGGGCGUAAGGGGUGCCUAGGUGGUGUAGUAAGUUGGCGGUGUAAUUCCGGGGCUCAACAUCGGCGCUACCGCCAAAACUAUUAGACUAGAGUGCAGGAGGGGUAAGUGGAAUUCCUAGUGUAGCGGUGGAAUGCGUAGAUAUUAGGAGGAACAUCAGGGGCGAAGGCGACUUACUGGACUGUAACUGACACUGAGGCACGAAAGCGUGGGUAGCAAACAGGAUUAGAUACCCUAGUAGUC